rfam:Loxodonta africana unplaced genomic scaffold scaffold_22, whole genome shotgun sequence.
GCCCUAGUGGCACAAUGGUUAAGCACUCAGCUGCUAUCUGAAAGGUUGGUGGUUUGAACCCACCCAGUAGCU